rnacentral:rRNA from 1 species
AACGAACGCUGGCGGCAUGCCUAACACAUGCAAGUCGAACGAACCCUUCGGGUCUAGUGGCGCACGGGUGCGUAACGCGUGGGAACCUGCCCUUAGGUUCGGAAUAACUCCCCGAAAGGGGUGCUAAUACCGGAUGAGGUCUUCGGACCAAAGAUUUAUCGCCUUUGGAUGGGCCCGCGUUUGAUUAGCUAGUUGGUAGGGUAAAAGCCUACCAAGGCGACGAUCCAUAGCUGGUCUGAGAGGAUGAUCAGCCACACUGGGACUGAGACACGGCCCAGACUCCUACGGGAGGCAGCAGUGGGGAAUAUUGCACAAUGGGCGAAAGCCUGACCCAGCAAUGCCGCGUGAGUGAUGAAGGUCUUAGGGUUGUAAAGCUCUUUUACCCGGGAUGAUAAUGACAGUACCGGGAGAAUAAGCUCCGGCUAACUCCGUG